CUGGCCAGAGAGAAGGCUGAGGAGCAGCCAGCAGCCUCUCCAGUUGUGAUGUGGAAUUUGAAAGAGGAUCCUGGGCCAGGGUCCACAGAAUUGCGUGUGUCCUGCACUGGGUCAUGUUAGCACAGCAUGUUUCCUCACUCUCUGGGAACCCAAACAAAGAAGAGACACCCAUGGCAACCUGAUUGCCAAGCUGUGCCUCCCUCUCAGCCCCCCAGAUCUGGUGUCAUCUUUACAGGGAAAUGAAAUGGGAUGUCUACAGUAAACAGCAGAAUAAAUCAGACCACAUCUGUGUUACAAAGAAAACUUCUGUCCCAUUUCUCUGGACCUGGUUAUUCAGUACAAUGAUGGAAAUUACAGACAAGAAAUGGAGAGAAUGGGGGAAGCCACAAAGAAAGGGAAGGAAGAAAAAGGCCAGGGAGGAGGAAGAUGCGUCUGUGACCAGAGCCCUGAGCCCAGAGUUGGCCCCCAGGAAGGAUGGGGACUGUUUAUUGAGGAUUUGCCAAUGCUGACAAGGAGCUGGAGAUCACCUGAGUAGCUUACCUGGGGGGAAAGCUGAGCAAAUGAAUUGUGAUGCAUUAAAUCCAUGGAACUAUUCUGCAACUACAUACCAAAAUGUGUUUGGUUUUGUCUAUGGAUGAGGAAAGCUAUGAUGCCUCGUCAAGAGAGAAAGGCGAGCCGUGGAUGUGUGUUGAGAGC
ensembl:lncRNA